UCUCCGUUGGUGAACCAGCGGAGGGAUCAUUAAAUAGUUGCAAAACUCCCCAACCAUUGUGAACGUUACCUAUCCCGUUGCUUCGGCGGGCGGCCCGGGCCCCGCGCCCGGCGCCCCCCGGCCCCCCGCGGGCCCCCGCCGGAGGUCAACCGAACCCUUGAAUGGCAUGGCCUCGCUGAGCCUUCUGUACUGAAUCAGUCAUAACUUUCAACAACGGAUCUCUUGGUUCUG
rnacentral:misc_RNA from 1 species